rnacentral:rRNA from 1 species
ACGAACGCUGGCGGCGUGCCUAAUACCUGCAAGUUGAGCGAUGAAGAUUGGUGCUUGCCCCAAUUUGAAGAGCAGCGAACGGGUGAGUAACGCGUGGGGAAUCUGCCUUUGAGCGGGGGACAACAUUUGGAAACGAAUGCUAAUACCGCAUAAUAACUUUAAACAUAAGUUUUAAGUUUGAAAGAUGCAAUUGCAUCACUCAAAGAUGAUCCCGCGUUGUAUUAGCUAGUUGGUGAGGUAAAGGCUCACCAAGGCGAUGAUACAUAGCCGACCUGAGAGGGUGAUCGGCCACAUUGGGACUGAGACACGGCCCAAACUCCUACGGGAGGCAGCAGUAGGGAAUCUUCGGCAAUGGACGAAAGUCUGACCGAGCAACGCCGCGUGAGUGAAGAAGGGUUUCGGAUCGUAAAACUCUGUUGGUAGAGAAGAACGUUGGUGAGAGUGGAAAGCUCAUCAAGUGACGGUAACUACCCAGAAAGGGACGGCUAACUACGUG